rnacentral:misc_RNA from 1 species
UACGGAGGGUGCUAGCGUUAAUCGGAAUUACUGGGCGUAAAGGGCGCGUAGGCGGUUUGUUAAGCAAGAUGUGAAAGCCCAGGGCUCAACCUUGGAAUAGCAUUUUGAACUGGCAAGCUAGAGUUUUGAAGAGGGGGGUAGAAUUUCCAGUGUAGCGGUGAAAUGCGUAGAUAUUGGAAGGAAUACCAGUGGCGAAGGCGGCCACCUGGUCAAAAACUAACGCUGAGGAGCGAAAGCGUGGGGAGCAAACAGG